AUUGAACGCUGGCGGCAGGCCUAACACAUGCAAGUCGAACGGUAACAGGGAUCAGCUUGCUGAUUCGCUGACGAGUGGCGGACGGGUGAGUAAUGUCUGGGAAACUGCCUGAUGGAGGGGGAUAACUACUGGAAACGGUAGCUAAUACCGCAUAACGUCGCAAGACCAAAGAGGGGGACCUUCGGGCCUCUUGCCAUCGGAUGUGCCCAGAUGGGAUUAGCUAGUAGGUGGGGUAACGGCUCACCUAGGCGACGAUCCCUAGCUGGUCUGAGAGGAUGACCAGCCACACUGGAACUGAGACACGGUCCAGACUCCUACGGGAGGCAGCAGUGGGGAAUAUUGCACAAAGGGCGCAAGCCUGAUGCAGCCUUGCCGCGUGUAUGAAGAAGGCCUUCGGGUUGUAAAGUACUUUCAGCGGGGAGGAAGGGAGUAAAGUUAAUACCUUUGCUCAUUGACGUUACCCGCAGAAGAAGCACCGGCUAACUCCGUG
rnacentral:rRNA from 1 species